UACAGAGGUCUCAAGCGUUGUUCGGAUUCAUUGGGCUAAAGGGUGUGUAGGUGGCGCCGUAAGUCGGGUGUGAAAUUUCGGAGCUUAACUCCGAAACUGCAUUCGAUACUGCGGUGCUUGAGGACUGGAGAGGAGACUGGAAUUCAUGGUGUAGCAGUGAAAUGCGUAGAGAUCAUGAGGAAGACCAGUGGCGAAGGCGGGUCUCUGGACAGUUCCUGACACUGAGACACGAAGGCCAGGGGAGCAAACGGG
rnacentral:rRNA from 1 species